CACGGGUUAGAUUUAGGUCUAAUUGGGUGGUGAGUGGCGAACGGGUGAGUAACGCGUAGGAAUAUAUCCUGAAGAGCGGGACAACUUGGGGAAACUCAAGCUAAUACUGCAUAAUCUCUUUGGAGGAAAGCUGGGGACCGGAAGGCCUGGUGCUUUAGGGGUAGCCUGCGUCUGAUUAGCUAGUUGGUGAGGUAAAGGCUUACCAAGGCGAAGAUCGGUAGCUGGUCUGAGAGGAUGGUCAGCCACACUGGGACUGAGAGACGGCCCAGACUCUUACGGGAGGCAGCAGUGGGGAAUAUUGGACAAUGGGGGGAACCCUGAUCCAGCGAUGCCGCGUGUGUGAAGAAGGCCUGAGGG
rnacentral:rRNA from 1 species